rnacentral:rRNA from 1 species
GACGAACGCUGGCGGCGUGCUUAACACAUGCAAGUCGAGCGGUAAGGCCCUUUCGGGGGUACACGAGCGGCGAACGGGUGAGUAACACGUGGGUGACCUGCCCUCAGCUCUGGGAUAAGCCUGGGAAACCGGGUCUAAUACUGGAUAUGACUCCAUGACGCAUGUUGUGGGGUGGAAAGCCUUGUGCGGCUGAGGAUGGGCCCGCGGCCUAUCAGCUUGUUGGUGGGGUGANGGCCUACCAAGGCGACGACGGGUAGCCGGCCUGAGAGGGCGACCGGCCACACUGGGACUGAGACACGGCCCAGACUCCUACGGGAGGCAGCAGUGGGGAAUCUUGCGCAAUGGGCGAAAGCCUGACGCAGCGACGCCGCGUGAGGGAUGACGGCCUGU